rnacentral:pre_miRNA from 17 species
AUGAAAGAACUUGAAAUUCUCUGUACUUUCGGCUUCUUUACAGUGCUGCCUUGUGACGUGAAGAUCAAGCAGCAUUGUACAGGGCUAUGAAAGCUCAGAGACUUCACAUCAUUGAACAAU